rnacentral:lncRNA from 1 species
AAUAGUGUAAGAACUGCUAAUACAAUCCAAGAGUUAAUUACAUCAGAAAAAUAACCACAAAGGAAUAAUAACUGUCUCUGAAUACUAAUAAAGACAUAACUACUAUAGAAAGAUAGAGGUGAACUUCGGACGCAUGAAUGUCCAACCGCUACCUUGGAAGCUCUAACAAUCGCCUGAGUCAAUCAAGCUGAGGCGCACUCGAGCUAGGACCUGUACCAAAAGGGCGCAAUAGACAUGAAUACGGUCCACUUAUACUUAGUAGGUAUCAUAGGCCGACCAAGCAAAGUAGUAAAUGAAGCAUACAAAAUACACAAUAAGGGUACAUCACCUACAAUCAGAAAAUAUCGCACAACGGUAGCCCACACCGCUUGCACUAACAGUUCUAAUGUAUAUCACAUAUAUUACAACAAUACACCAAGAUAUAGAACACAAGUAUACAUUAUGUCACAUAUAGAUAGAACAAGAGAGAACAUGUAGAUACAAGAUCAUCAAAUACAAGUAAAAGAAUGUAAGACAAAUACAUAGAUGACAAGUCUAUAUUGCAAUACAACACAACAUAAACACAAUAAAGUAACUGCAAUGUAUAUGACGAUGAUGAUGAUGAUGCACGAGGUCGUCGCACAACCUCCGAGAUCGGCGCACAAUCUCUGUAUAUACCUACGGAGCUAAAGCUUCCCAACGUAGGACCUAUGGGGAGUUCAUCAACCCAUAUACAAUUAACAUAUCUCAUAUCUCCUUUCCAGCAUAUCCCUCAAAAAGGGUUUUAUAAGGUGUUACAAUAUCUCUUAAAAAGAUGUUGCUAGUGUUUCUCAUAUAUUACCAUAGUGGUACCAAUGUUUCAUGAAUGAGUAUGAUAUGAAGAUGUAAUGCUCACAACUAAUCACAAUGAGUAUUUCCACAACCAACCACAAUGAUACUUUUACACAACCACAUGAGCUAAUAUCCACUCAUUAUUAUCGUAUCAUCCAUGAAUUUUCACAUAUCUCAUUUGCUAAUAAAGUAUGAAUAUAAUCACAAUACACCAAUGGUACCACAUUAAGCAUUUUAAUACAAUUAUUCAUAUGUAUUCAAGGCUAUCAAUAUCACAUAAGACCCCACACGGUCACACAUAUCACAUAAUAUCUCAGUUUUGAUAAUUACAUCACAUAUAAGCCCUACACCCUACACGAGCACAACACAUAGAUAGCCAUUUUUCAUGAUUAGUUCCCACCCGUAGCAUGCAUUUUACAUCACAUAUAAGCCCCCACACGAACACAACACACAGAUAGCCAUUUUUCAUGAUUAGUUCCCACCCUUAGUAUGCAUUUUGUACCAUCAUUUACUACCCAACCCAGUCUGAAAGAGUUAAGUCAUAACCAACCUCGAAAGCCAAAAUCGAUCUGCUACACUUGAACCCGCGACCUUACUUUUCACGAACAAUCUUGAACUCGACUAAAAACAUCAAAUAUGAAAUCUACGCGUCAAAACAAAACCAACGACACCCAUAUUGACUACUUUUGAUUCGGGGUCAAAAUGGAUCCCCGAAAUGGGUUUUCGAAAAAGAAGGGCAAAAUCAGAAUUUUACUUUAAAAACAUGUUUUUCAUAUUUUUAGGAACCUACAUAUGAAAAUCAAAGUUAAAUCGAGUCAAAAACUAGGUUCAAAUCGAAGAAAAAUCAUUUCUAGCUUUAUUGGGUAAAAUUUUUGAAAUCCGGAUUAAAAUCAAGAAUCAAAGUUGUUUUGAAGGUUAAAUUGAUGAAAAACUAGUAUUUAUAAGAUAAAAAUAUUAUUCAAGUGAAAAGGAGUGAAAUUGAAGUUUAAAAUCAAGCCUUAAGAUUUUGGGGGUUUUGAUAAAUUAAUCAACAAAUUACUAAGAAAAUAGUAAAUUCUUACCUUAAAUCCGUAAUAAAACCAAGAAAUAGAUGUUAAUCUAGCGUCCCAAACUCCCACAAACUCUACUUUUAAGCUCUCGCACUAUUUUAGGGUUUAACUCUCAAGAGGCAAGAUGAAAAUGUGCAAAAUGGGCCAAAAAUAGGUGGCAAAAGCUGUUAUAUUGCAGUUUUUCUGCAAUAUUAAGUGCUGGUUUUUCUCUUAAGCCGAAACAGAUUUCAACGGGGUGCUCGGGAUUCAUUUGGAGUUCGAUAUACACAAACAAACUAUGCAACCAUACUAAAUUCGACACUCCGGACGCGAUGGCAAUAUCAAAUUUUAAAAAAAAAAUCGUUUUCACAAAGUUGACCCUCGAAAUCCGAAAUUAUAAUUUUCCAAACCGAGGGUCGAAAUGAGAUUGAAAAGUCGUAAAAUCAUACCAAACAUGCUAACACCUAAAAUCGACGUUCCGAAUCUGCUGUCGAAGUCAGAUUUUCCACUCGAGGUCAUUUUUAUCAUAUGUGGGUCCCACACCCAUAUUUUCAAUUUUUCAACUUUUCGACCAAUAGAUCGAAAUGAGCUCGUGUGCAUCGGGACCCAAAUCAAAGAUCUACCUAGACUAAAAUCGAUAGUCCAGAGUUGAUGGCGCCGUCCGUUCGGCAAUCCAUUGCACGGAUCAAAAGAUAUCUACAUAAGUCCAAAAUAAGGCUCUCAAAGCCAUCAAAAAUCACAAUAUCACAUAAAUGAUGCCAAAAUUCAUUGAAAAUUAUGUCAAUCACUCCCACACUCUAGAAAUAUCAUAAUGCAAUUAUGGGGAGAGGUAAAAUAGCUAAAUCACACAAAAUCACAAAUUUCAUCAAAUUUUUAGGUCGUUACAAUUUGUAACAUAAUUUCUUAGUAAAUUUAAAAUAUAUAGCUAUACUUCUCUAGUAUUUUUAGUUGUUUUAAAAAUUUUAGUUCCUUUGUAAUAGAAAUUAUUUAUCUUUCAUACUUUUCUCUCGUUUUGUUCCUUUAUUUAUUGAAAGAAUUGUUAAUUAUAUAUUCAUGUAUUUUAAAUUUAUGUAACAUUGAAUUUUUAGUGAACCAGAAAAAGUAACAAACUAAGUUUGACCAUAGAUGUAGUAUACUGCUACAUAAUGAUACUUCUCAUACUACAUAUAUGAACUGACCAUAUAUUUUUAAUUUUUUUUUCAAAUAGUGUAUUAAUAAGGUUGGUCUUUUCAUAUACAAUUUGAGCGUAUUUUAACCUUUUAUUAUCAAAAAAAUAACUUGAAACAAAAUUUUAUUAUCUUUUUGAUUGAAUAAUUAUCAACUAAAUGCAGCAACUGAAAUUCAAAACUUGUUAAAAUGAUAUUAAUUUGAAAUAAUAUAAUAAACAUUAAAUUGUAGAUUUUCUUGAGAAUUUUCUAUUGCGUUAUAUAGCUAAGGUGAGAAGUGACAAUUAGUGCAUUUUAAAGAAGAGAUAAAAUAUUGAAUGAGAAAUGGGGCCCACGAAAAAAGAUGAAUUUUGGAUGAUGAAUUUGUAAUGUUAAAUAAUUAUAAUGCCCUUCAUCGUUCAUAAUUCACUUUUCUAUAACAGCUAGAUAAGUAUGUCUGUGUUUUGCAUGGGCCCAACAUAUAAAGUAUAUAUGUUUGCUUCGAAUGAUGAAAUUGAAGAAUUAAAAUUCAUGCAAUUAUUUUUCAUGCGUUGUAUAAACUGUUGAAUGUUAUUGGAGACAAUAAUUUGAAUAAAUUGUAUAUCUAUUUUGUGAACAGAACUAAUAGGAUGCCAUCCCUAAACAAAAAGGAUAGAAAGUAGUACACCGAUAAAAUUCACAUGAAGAAACUGAAGUAGAAAGAAAAAGAAAAUUGAUUCUUGUACCACUAUAUUAUGGUUUGUACUUUACUCAGUUUCUCUGUGUUCAUUAUUUUUUUUUUUUGGCUUUUAGGUUGUAUAUCUGAGUGCAACAGCAAAAAGUAAUAAUUACUUAUACAACUACACAUUAACAAUUACCCACCAAGAGCCUCGACUUUGAGAAUUUUCAGUUAUAUCAAAAUCAUGAUUACACUUUGACUUGCUCUAAUUGCUCGAUCCUUUUAUAAAGAAAUUCAUAAUAAAUAUUGACAUUCAAUUAAAUUUUAAAUAAGCAAGUAUCGACCUCAUUUCUUAUAUUGAUUAAAGUCAUUGAUGUUUAAUAAGCAAGUAAAUAUAUGUAAAUAAAGUGGAAUUUUAUUGAACAUAUAAAGUACUAUGUGAUAAUCAUGAAGUGAUCUCCAUACAAAAUCUCAUAGUUCGAAGGAAAUUCAAAUGUUAGAAAUUGACAAUAUUUAAUUUAACUGAAGACGCAGAAUGCUAACUUAGAGAUUUAUCAAUCUUGCCACAUUUUUUUCAUAGCUUUGUCCUUUGGCUCAUAUUGAUUUCAUUUUAUUUUUUUUUUCAUAAUGCUCAAUAUGUAGCCUCAAAAAUGCAUUUCCUCUUCUUUUUUUUUUCUCUAAAGUUGUUUCUGUUUUUAGGAGAAUAUGCCUCUAAAAUCAAUUAGAACUGAACAUGAUACAUGAAAGGAGUUUAAGUAACUAAAGUAGUUAAUGUAUGUUGUUGUUGAUGUUUAACCAUACUUAGAAUCUGUUAUAAAAGAAAUAAAUGUUACCUUAGUGACUUAGUCUCUUG